rnacentral:rRNA from 1 species
AGUGAACGCUGGCGGUAGACCUAACACAUGCAAGUCGAACGGCAGCACAGUAAGAGCUUGCUCUUACGGGUGGCGAGUGGCGGACGGGUGAGGAAUACAUCGGAAUCUACUUUUUCGUGGGGGAUAACGUAGGGAAACUUACGCUAAUACCGCAUACGACCUACGGGUGAAAGCAGGGGAUCUUCGGACCUUGCGCGAUUGAAUGAGCCGAUGUCGGAUUAGCUAGUUGGCGGGGUAAAGGCCCACCAAGGCGACGAUCCGUAGCUGGUCUGAGAGGAUGAUCAGCCACACUGGAACUGAGACACGGUCCAGACUCCUACGGGAGGCAGCAGUGGGGAAUAUUUGGACAAUGGGCGCAAGCCUGAUCCAGCCAUACCGCGUGGGUGAAGAAGGCCUUCGGGUUGUAAAGCCCUUUUGUUGGGAAAGAAAAGCAGCAGGUUAAUACCCCGCUGUUCUGACGGUACCCAAAGAAUAAGCACCGGCUAACUUCGUG